rnacentral:sRNA from 1 species
AUUCAUCUUCUCCGGUUCUCCAUUCCGCCUUAGUCUUGUCCAACAACUUCACACA